rnacentral:rRNA from 1 species
UCGGGAAUUUUGGGCAAUGGGCGAAAGCCUGACCCAGCAACGCCGCGUGAGGGAUGAAGUAUUUCGGUAUGUAAGCCUCGAAAGAAUGGGAAGAAUAAAUGACGGUACCAUUUAUAAGCUCCGGCUAACUACGUGCCAGCAGCCGCGGUAAUACGUAGGGAGCAAGCGUUGUUCGGAUUUACUGGGCGUAAAGGGCGCGUAGGCGGCGCGGUAAGUCACUUGUGAAAUCUCUGAGCUUAACUCAGAACGGCCAAGUGAUACUGCUGUGCUAGAGUGCGGAAGAGGCAACCGGGAUUCUUGGUGUAGCGGUGAAAUGCGUAGAUAUCAAGAGGAACACCUGAGGCGAAGGCGGGUUGCUGGGCCGACACUGACGCUGAUGCGCGAAAGCCAGGGGAGCAAACG